AAAUAAAGCUCACGCAGACAGACAGAGUAUAGCAUGACCUGAGCCUUACGGUGUCCUCUUUUCUGUACCUGCAGGUGACCCCAGCAACCAGCGAGAGUGAUGCCUUGGAGGAAGACUUUGAUCCCACCAAAGGAGACAGCGCAGGAGGCACACCUCUCGCCGUGGUGACCUUGGCAAUCAGCGAGAGUGGUACUUAUUCUGAAAUCAGCCUCUUCCUGAGACAAAACUCUUGAUGGUAAUGCAGGUGGGGCAUCCUUGCAACCCUCAGUGUGGCGAGCCGCCCUGAUUGGGUUGUGGGGGUGUGUGGGGGACCAGAGAUUUCCCAGGUGAAAAAGUGUGUCCAUGUGUCUACAGUCCUAGGAAGCCAUUGUACUCCCUGUGUGUGGUGUGGGUAUGUGUGUGUGAGGUUUGGGGUUGUGGUGACUUUUCUGGCUCUAUGUGGUAUGAUUGUUUGUGCAUGUUUUUGUGUGGUAGAUAGGGAGAGUCAGACACAAAAAGAGAGAUGCAGAGAGGGAGAGAGAGAGAUGGAAAGAGUGAGAGAGAGAUUGCAUAUUUCUCCAGGAGGGGUAUCCCACUGCCACUGCACAAUGGCCAUUGUCCACAUUCAAAAAAAAAAAAAAGAAAGAAAGAAAGAAAGAAAAGACGCGAUAAAUAAAUCUUGUCACAGGGCACACAUUACAGCCCUAUUACCACGGGAGGCCAAGCGGUGGCAUUCAGCUCAUGCCUGGGAACCAAAUGCCUCCAUAUGCUCUAACCCCAUUCAUAGCGAGCAA